UCACGUCUUACGACGGCAGUUUCACUAGAGUUCCCAGCGUUACCUGAUGGCGACUAGUGAUGGGGGUUGCGCUCGUUGCGGGACUUAACCCAACACCUCACGGCACGAGCUGACGACAGCCAUGCAGCACCUGUGCAUGGAUCCCGAAGGAGGCUCCUCGUUUCUGAGGAGUUUCCCAUGCAUGUCAAGCCUAGGUAAGGUUCUUCGCGUUGCGUCGAAUUAAACCACAUGCUCCACCGCUUGUGCGGGUCCCCGUCGAUUCCUUUGAGUUUCAGCCUUGCGGCCGUACUCCCCAGGCGGAGUGCUUAAUGCGUUAGCUGCAGCACUAAGGGGCGGAAACCCCCUAACACUUAGCACUCAUCGUUUACGGCGUGGACUAC
rnacentral:misc_RNA from 1 species